rnacentral:misc_RNA from 1 species
UUGCUAAAUUUUUAAGAAAAU